rnacentral:lncRNA from 1 species
UGGAAGUUAUGGGACUUUGAAAGAGAGGUAAAUGUUAAAAACAGUAUGGAUACAAAUUCUACGUUUUUGUCCGGUUACUGAGUAGACUGGGAGUUUUGUACAAAAAAUAGUCAUCAGAAGAUGAUUCUGAGGUUUCUAACAUGAAAAUAUAUGAUUUCAUUUACCCAAGAUGUAGAACAAAUGUGAAAAGCACUGGGGAUUGAACCCAGGCCCAAGGCCUUCCAGUCCUUGUUAAAUUUUGAAAUAGGGUUUGAAUUGCCCAGGCUGGCUUCAGAUUUACUAUUCCUCCUCCUACCCCCCGAGUGCUGGGAUCACAGGCUUGCAGGGCCGUACUGGAACGUCCUAGGCAUUCUCUUACUUUCCCAUUCACACUUCAGUCCUUGACUUUGACUGCGAAGACUGAAAGACUGUCUUUCACUUCAACGAUAUUUCCUGUAUAGCCUUAUAGUUCCUCAUCAUUAUUUAACUUCUUUUAAUACUUAGUACUUUGUACUGAAGAUGUCUUACUUAUUAUUGCCUCACCCAUUAGGAUCUUUCUUUUUUUGGUACUGGGGAUUGAACUCGGGACCUUGCACUUGCAAGGCCAGCGCUGGAACCACUAAAGCUAAAUCCCCAGCCCACAUUAGGAUUUCUUGAGGACUAGGACGGUGUGGCUAACAGUUUAUGACUGCUACUUAAUAACUCAAGCACAUUUCCUCUUUUUCAACUAAAAAGACACUUAACACAAAAAAAUAAUGUGUGAGCCAAGCCUGGUGGCCAACGCCUGUAAUCUCAGCACUGGGGAGGCUGAGGCAGGAGGAUCCCUGUGAGUUCGAGGCCAGCCUUGGCUACAUAGUGAAUUCAGUGCCAGCCUGAACCACCCAGUAUCAAAAGGUAAUAGUAAUAAUAAUAAUAAGAAGAAGAAGAAGAAGAAGAAGAAGAAGAAGAAGAAGAGGAGGAGGAAGGUGUGAAUUUUCACAUAUACACAUAUGAGUGUAUGUGUGGCACUGAGCCACUGUUUGAAUAUCUCAAAACUAUCAGCAAAUAUCUACAUCUGUCCUAGAAAAACCAUAAUUAAAAUGAAUAGAUCUCAAAAAAAUAAAUAAAAUAAAAUUAAUGGAUUUCAUAUGCCAAAAAAAAAGUUUGCUCUAAUCUUUAUAUACCAUUGUAAUUCUUUUUUCUUUGCUUUUCCCCUCAGUACAGUGAGCCACAUCCCUGGCUCCCCUCCCCAUUUUAAAUUUUCAUUUUGACACAAAGUCUGACUAAGUUGCUCAGGCUGGGCUCAAAUCUUCAAUCUUUUGCCUCAGCCUCCUAAAACGCUGGGAUUACAG